AGUUCCCUAGGUAGGGAAACCAUCUUCCGACCCUAAUCUGUUCCCCACCUCCUUCGGAAGCCUGAAGCCCUCGAAGCCGACCCACCAAUCGGAGCCAUCUCCUCCAACGCCAAGGAGAGGAAAUAUGAGUAGGCGAUACAGUCGAACCAUCUACGUCGGCAAUCUCCCUGGUGACAUUCGUGAAAGGGAGGUCGAAGAUUUGUUCAACAAGUAUGGACCCAUCAUUGAUAUUGAUUUGAAGAUUCCUCCAAGGCCUCCAGGUUAUGCAUUCAUUGAGUUUGAAGAUCCUCGUGAUGCUGAUGAUGCUAUUCGUGGUCGUGAUGGGUAUAAUUUUGAUGGUCACAGAUUACGGGUGGAACUUGCUCAUGGUGGAAGAGGCCAAUCUUCGUCAUUUGAUCGUCACAGUAGUUACAGCAGCGGGGGUCGACGUGGUGGAGUUUCUAGACGCUCAGAAUAUCGUGUCAUGGUCACUGGUUUGCCUUCAUCUGCUUCCUGGCAAGACUUAAAGGAUCAUAUGCGCCGAGCUGGUGAUGUCUGCUUCUCUGAAGUUUUUCGCGAUGGUGGUGGUACUAUCGGAAUUGUAGAUUACACGAAUUAUGAUGAUAUGAAAUAUGCAAUAAGGAAGCUUGAUGACUCUGAGUUUCGCAAUGCAUUUUCACGAGCAUACAUAAGAGUGAAGGAAUAUGAUUCAAAGAGAAGCUUGUCUAGGAGCCGAAGUCGUAGUCGUUCUUAUUCAAGAAGCCCUACUCCACCCCGCAGUAGAAGCCGGAGCCGAAGCAAGUCUCCGAGGGCAAAGCCAUCACGCCAUUCCUUGUCAAGAUCUCGAUCAAGAUCUGCAUCUUCUCAUUCAAGAUCAGCAUCCAAAGGACGUUCUUUGUCAAGAUUUGGGCUUAAGCGGGGAUCUCUGGAUUGCAUGUUAGGAUCUGAAUUGGAUAUGGUGGCAAUGCUUGCAACCUUUUUGGUAUUGUGAGGUAUGCUGUUUCAUAGACGAGCAGUUUAUGAAACCUGCAGAAAAUCUUGAUGUUUACCUUUAAUGGCCUUUUCUGAUGGGCCUUCUCGGGGACAGAAAGGAUUGGUUGCAAUGACAAAGCUGGAUUAUUCUAAGGCAAAUGGAAAUGGGCGUCACUGGACGAGUCCUAGGGAGAAGUUUUGCCAUUCCUUCAACAUUUUCCCAGUACUAUAAGUUGCAUUCAGGGUCCUGGAUAUAGCUUUCCUGGGUACAAUGAACAGCCCUCAAGAUAGAUUAGGAUUUUUGUGGCGUGGGUUUUUCACAGCUUGCCCGAUGCAAUUUAUACUCUGCCAUAUCCAUGUUUGCAAGUCUAUGCUGAUCCCACUUGAAUUCUCUUUUUUUUCUCAAGAUUCAAACACUUGCAUAUUAUACAUGGCCAUGAGUUUUUUUAAUAAGAAUUAAAUGCUUUUAAAAUAUUUUGAGCUCUUUGUUCUGCCUUUCCAUAUGAUUCUCACCUGGGAGAGGCUUCAAGGAUUUGGAUCAAACUGUUAACCAGCGAUGUGGAUAUUGAACUCAGUUUUCUGGAACUUUUUGCAGAUCACAAUCGAGAUCGAGAUCUCCUGUAACCUCCCCCCUACGUGGGAGCAAAAGUCCUAGUAAGCCUAGUCCCAACAGGAGCAGAAGCUUAUCGCGAUCUCGAUCACCUAUGGCAAAAUCUGAAUAGAGCAAUAUUUUGCUGCUGAAGAUGGUUGAUAUGGGAUGAAUUGGAUGUCAUGGCUUAAGCAUGGAACACAGACUGGCAAUUUAGUAUUGUCGUUGGGUUGCGAUAAAUGCCUAGACUUCUGGUUGUUCCACCCGGACUUAAUCUUGCUGUUGAACUUUGUUAAAGAUAUUUAUGGUCUGUGGUGACCCGAUAUUAAGACAACAAACAUAUAUAAUGUCUGCAGGAACUAUCUCUGCUUGGUUUCUGUAUGUUUAGUAAAGGAGACAUUUUAGAUGUCUUUCUUGAA